rnacentral:snRNA from 1 species
GUGCUCGUUUUGGCAGCACAUAUACUAAAAUUAUAACAAUACAGAGAAGAUUAGCACAGCCCCUGCACAAGGAUGACACGCAAAUUCGUGAAGCGUUCCAUAUUUAA